CUGGUAUGUUGUCAUUUUCAAUUUUAGUUUUCAGUGCAAAGUUUAUGUUUCGAUUUGUUCCAGUUUACAUUUCUUGCAUUUGAAUUUACUUUUCCAACAUUGUUAUUGAUUCUAUUUCUCUCUUGUAUUGAUGUUAUUCUUUCAUAUUCAUUUCUGAGUUUGAUAAUGUUUUAGAGUUGAUGUUCUGAUUUUGUUUCUUAUUGAUUUUAGAAUAGUUUAUGAUGCUUUUGAUGAGUGUUAUGACAUGCUUAUGAAUUGUACAAACACUGGGUUGGUAAAUUGAGUGAGAGUCACCAUUCUAUGUUCUGAAAUAAGGACUCAAAGACCCCAUAAUGGGCUUUACUUUACAGGAUAUGUCUUCCUGAGAGUGACUAAGACCCAUUUUAUUAGUUAAAUGUUUGUUAAAUUUGGAAAAGUGUAUUUAUCUGAAUUCUUGGUAGGUUUCUUUACUUAGUUGGUUUGAUAGAGGAUAGUUUUAGGACAGUUGUUUCAAUUUUGUUUUAAUAUUGCUGUUUUCAUUUGAGAUUGAUUUUCAGACUUGGCAUAUUAGCUUCUCAUUAGUAGAAUUAGGAUUUAUCAUUGGCAUGUUUCGGUUCUUUCAUAAAUAGUUCACUUUCUUAUUUUAGUUUUUAGCUUAUUAGAUUUUGCUUUACAUAUUCUUUCUUCAUUGCAUCUGGUUCAUAAUAGUAGGUAUUAGUUUCCUUUAUUCAUACAUCAUUUAGAUAGGUUUAAUCAUGCAUUUGCAUUUAGUUUCUUUUAUUUUUAAUUUCACGGUAUUUCCCCACCUAGUUUUAGAUAGUUUUAAUAAAUAGUAAUUAGGUAUAAUUCUACAUUUCUAAACUUAAUAAAAUAAGAACGAAGUCCUUGGAUUAGACCCUAUGUUGCUCUUAUACUACAUUAGUGGAGAAUUUAGGUUUAUUGACUUUCGUACGACCAAAAGCCUUUCAACAAUACGACAUAUUUAGGGGAAUGGGAAAAUGACAUAGAGCCAUACACCCAAAUCUUAACUGGUUCGUUGACCUCACAACUUUUCCAAUCUCCUGCACAUGAUAACACAUAACCCUUGUCCUCUCUUACUGUACCAGAAAAUGAAACAUUAGGCUUACGUUCAUCGUCAUUAGAUCCAUUUAGUAAGGAUGAGGAUGAAAUCCUAAUCCAUCACACAAAUGAUGAAAAAGAAAACUUAGACCCCCCCCUCCCCCCUCCCCCAAUACAACAACAACCACAUAUAUCUUUUCUACAUAACCACCAUCUACACCAAGAAUAUCCUCAUGUAUACGACCACCAUUUAGUUUUACAUGAUGUUCCAAACAAAGGAGCAAUUCAUUGAUGCUCUAAACACAUUUCACAUCAUUAACUAUUACACAUACAAAACCACACACUCCAACACAAUAAGGUUGAGGGUGUAAUGUGUCCACCGGUAAUGUCCGUGGAAGUGUCAGGCCAUCCUGCAUAAAAAAAGAUCAAGUAUGGGAAAUAAGAAAAAUUGAAGGUGCCCACACAUGUGCCACACAACUCAUCACACGAGAUCACAACAGGUUGAUAUCACGAAUCAUUUCCUAACAUAUACGUGAGAUGGUCAAAUCUGACUCAUCCAUACCAAUUGUAACAAUCAUUGCUUCCAUCAAGACCUCAAUGGGCUACUGAUGAGUGCAUAUUUAUGCCCACAUUUAUGGUUUAAAAUUCAAAUUUUUGAUGAGAUUCUUGUGUUUAAAUGAUUGAUUUAAAAUAAGAUUUGUGAUGAUUGGCUUUAUCGGGUUUAUGAAUUAAAGUGCUUAAAAUGUGAUUUUAAAUGCAUAAAUUAUUUUGGAUAGUCUAAUGUUUGUUGACGUAGCUGAAAUUAAAGUUUGAAUUGCAAUUCUGAAAAGAAGGAAAAGGCUAAAGUGUAAUUAGAGGAAAUUUAUGGACUUCUGUGCAAUUUUGAAUAAAAUAAAAAUGGUUGAAAGGUAAUUUUGGACAAGUUUAUUUUAAAAGAUAAUUUGGAGAAAAUAUAUCCUAAGAUAUUUUAUUCGAUAUUGUUAAAUAAUUACCUUAUUUAAUUAUAUCAAUAAAAAUCAAAAGAUAAUAUUUUCCAAAUCUUUUUGAAUCUAAAAAAGAUAUUAUCAAAUAAUCUCAAAAACUGAUUAAAUCUGUUGAAUAUUUGAAAGAUAUUAGAUAUAAGAUAAAAUAUCUUAUCAACAGAAGAUUCAGAGUCCAAGUCCAAUCAAGCCUAUAUAAAGAGACCCAGGAGAGGCACAACUCAUUCAUUCUCAGACUGCUCCACUAGAAGUCAUCAUUCACCACUCCUCUCACUUUUAUUUCAUCUUGUAUUCUAUUCCAUUCAUGGGGGGCUAAGCUCUUAGGGCUAUUCCACUAUAAUUUCAUUAUGGAUUCUGAGGUUAAGUUGAAUUAAUGCAAUUGUUUCUUUUGAUUAUUGAUUUGAGUUAUCCUUCUUCUAUGUCUUUCAUCUCUCAAUCAUAUUAAAACUAAUGACUUUUGCAUCAUAAGGUGUUUGAAUCUACAUGCAUAUUAAUCAUAUGAGUUCAAGGGUUUCUAAGUUUGAUAUAAAAUCUACUUCGAUUAAAUUUAGGAACUUUCAUAUGAUUAAACGGGUUUUUGAUAUCAAUUGAGAAUGUACUUUGAUUGGUGGUAAUAAUUUCAACUAUAACUAAUUGAGAAUUUACUUUGAUUAAUUAGCUUUUAAUUUGGUUAGGAGAUUUAAGAAUAGACAUGAUUAACCACAAUAGGAUUUGAUUGAGAAUGUACUUUGGUUGAAUUCAUUGUGAAUAAUCUAGAAACGUCUUGCAUUUGAUUGAGAAUUUAUUUUGGUUAAUUGCAUGAUCGCCCUCAAAUUAAUUAAGAAUGCACUUUAAUUAGUUUGAAACUUGAACAAUAAUCAAUUGAACAAUGAUCUAUGGAUAACCAAUGAUGAAUCUAUCUUGGAAAAGCAGUGGAAUUAGCCUAUUUCAUCAUAAUUUUUUCUUAAGUUUCCUCUUUGAUCUUCAAACAUUAAUUCCAUUAGCAUAGCUUCUCACUUUUAUUCUUGAGCAUUGCAUUCAUUCAUAAGAUUCAAAUAUUGAAAAACAAUUCCGUAUUCAUUGGGAGACGACUUAGGGUUACUUUAACCCUAUCUACUUUCUUGACUACUGACUUGGGAAUACUGAAGUUGCCUUUAAAAGUAGUAUUAAUUUGAUAGCUUCAACAACAUCGUAUCAAAUUUGACGCCGUUGCCGGAGAAUACGGUCAGUAUUUUGAAUAUUUUGAUUCUUAUUUUUAUUUUUAUUUUUAUCUUUAUUUUUUUUUACUUUUUUAACGCAUAUACAUUUAACUUAGUUUGAAUUAUUUUGUAGCCUUUAGUUAUUCUUACAUAAAGGCAUGGUUGGCGAAAAAACAUGCAAUCGAACAUGUGUACGAGAAUUGGAAAGAAUCAUUCAAUAAAUUGUCAUGGCUACUACAAGAAAUACACAUUUUUGCUCUUGGAUUCGUGUACAAACUCAAAACAUAGUCAAUUAUUGAUGACGAGAAGGUUUGGCAAAACCAACAAUAUUUCAAAAGAUUAUUCUAGACCUUCAAAUUGUGUGUUGAUGGAUUUUCCUAUUGAAAACUAUUGGUGCAACUGGACGGAACAUUCCUGUAUGGAAAAUAUAAGGGCACUCUUUUAGUAGCUAUAGCAUAAGAUGGAAGAAACAAAAUACUUCACAUUGCUUUUGCUAUAGUUGAGGGUGAAACAAAAGACACUUAUUUUUUUUUUUGAAAAACCUUAGGAGGCAUAUUACACCUCAACAAUACUUGUGCUUAAUUUUGGAUCGCCACAACUCUAUCCGUGCAACAUUCAAUAGACUGAUGAGUGGAUGAACUCAAGGAAACUGUGUGCAUGUGUAUUGCAUUUGACACAUUCCACAAAAUUUCACCCAAAUAUUUAGGGAUACAACUUUGAAGAAGGACCUAAUCAACAUAGAAAGUGCAUUCUUACAGAGAAAGAGAAAGAGCUCCAAGAAACAAGAAGUGACCGUGGUGAUCAUCUACUUGUGGAUUCUUGAAGAGAAGAAGAGUGUGUUGCGUUCUUGACUUUGAGGGUGGCUCAAAGGGUUUGGACUGCAGGAGAGGGGAUUCUUGCUGCUAGUCUAUUUUGUAUAUGCCUAUAUUUUGAUUAGAGGGUUAGAGAGGUGUUUUAUAUUUUUGACUUCAGGUCGCUAUAAAACCCUUAUUGUAAAAACCUUGAUCAUUAUAAUGCAUUGGCUUCCUGUGGUUUGAAGGACACUGGAUGUAGGCUUGGCCGAACCAGUAUAAAAACUCAACGUUUGAUCUUUCUAUCCCUACACUCUUUUAUUCAGUCGACUUCUUACUGUAUUAAAUCGAUUUAAU